AUACUUUCCACUACUAUAUAAGCAUCUAUCUCGUUGAGGUUUAUCGGUCACCAACAGCGAUAGAUAAAGGUAUAAAAUAAUGAAGACGUUUAGCAUAUUUGCUUUACUUUUGAGUCUUUUUUUCUGGACUAGAGAGGCCCACUGCUACAACAUGUAUAACAUGCAAGGAAAACGAAACACCCAGAAUCGCGAAACAUCAAGCAGCUUUUGCAUUAUUGCAAAAACUAAAUGCAACGAUGAAUGGGUGAACCCCUGUUUAGUCUCAUCUGACAAACAACGAAACUACAUUGGAAGGCGUCCUGAGAAAGUUGUCUCAAGAUGUGAGAUGCAACGAAAGAAAUAUAAAGAUAAACAUUUUGAUAGAAAAGUAUGAUGACCGUGAACUAAGUAAAAUCCGUGCAACGUUUAAAGAAACUAGAUCUAAUGAUCGAUGAUGUAUGUCAAGCAUGUCGGGUUUUAUGGAGGGGAGUACUAGUAAAGCAAAUCCCUGAAUGUUUCCUGUACGUACAAUUCGCGUUAUUCAAAUAAAUGAUUUACAUUUGA